GGGCCGGUAGCUCAUUAGGAAGAGCGCCAGACUUUUAAUCUGGUGAGCGUGGUUCGAAUCCACGCCGGCCCA
rnacentral:tRNA from 1 species